rnacentral:sRNA from 1 species
CUCCAGUAAGUGACUGAGGUCAGUGGUCGAUCACAGGGGUGGACCUGCUGGGCCCAGGGCAGCCUUGAGUGCAUUGGUGGAGAGGGCUGCCCUGAGUUGUCCUGUGGGAGGACCACCUGGAGUUUCCAGGAAGGAAAGAAUAGUUGUGACUUUUCUUUUUCUUGUUUCCUUGAUUUUUAUCAGGAUGGUUUGCGAAGACUAUCAGGGAAUGAAUAUGUUCUUUCAACAAAAAACACUCAAAUGGUUUCAAGCAAUAUAAUCACUCCCAUCUCCCUUGAUGAUGUCCCACCACGGAUAGCUCGGGCCAUGGAAAAUGAGGAAUACUGGGACUUUGAUAUUUUUGAACUGGAGGCUGCCACCCACAAUAGGUGAGUUCAUGCAGAGCUCAGCAGCGGGAGAACUAGAUUCCCAGGGCCUGUGUGAGGAGGCUACCUGAGGAGUAUGGAUUGUGCACAAGCCUGGUACCUGGUCAGGGUGGGGCCCUAAGGAAGGAGUAGCAGGGCACCAGGUGGCUCUGAGUCACCAGGGCCUGGGGGAGAGUCUGCUGGCCACAGUGAU